UUAUCCUUUGUUGCCAGCGAUUAGGUCGGGAACUCAAAGGAGACUGCCAGUGAUAAACUGGAGGAAGGUGGGGAUGACGUCAAGUCAUCAUGGCCCUUACGACCAGGGCUACACACGUGCUACAAUGGCGCAUACAAAGAGAAGCGACCUCGCGAGAGCAAGCGGACCUCAUAAAGUGCGUCGUAGUCCGGAUUGGAGUCUGCAACUCGACUCCAUGAAGUCGGAAUCGCUAGUAAUCGUGGAUCAGAAUGCCACGGUGAAUACGUUCCCGGGCCUUGUACACACCGCCCGUCACACCAUGGGAGUGGGUUGCAAAAGAAGUAGGUAGCUUAACCUUCGGGAGGGCGCUUACCACUUUGUGAUUCAUGACUGGGGUGAAGUCGUAACAAGGUAACCGUAGGGGAACCUGCGGUUGGA
rnacentral:rRNA from 4 species